UGUCAGAAUCCUGUUAAAACGGAAAAUUGUCUGUGGAUGAGGAACCUCUUUUUCUAUACUUUGUUCUUCAUCUGUUAUGAAUCAAUGAUUACCCAUCAAAGAAAAGAACUAUUUCUAUAUAUAUUUGUUGCUGGGUCAUCAGUUGUUCUUCUGUGGUGGUUCUUCUGUAAUUGUUCUUCUGUUGCUGUUCUUCGGUGGUUGUUCUUCUGUUGCUGUUUUAUUGCCGUUACUGGGUCUCUAGUUUAUACAGACAUAUCUGGAGAAUAAGGACUAGAGCAGUGGUUUUCAACCACCGUUCCGCGGAACACUGGUGUUCCGCAAAAUAAUUAAGUAUUAAAUAUUCACGUAAUCAAAAUAUUUUAAUAAUAACAAUU
rnacentral:lncRNA from 1 species